rnacentral:lncRNA from 1 species
ACAUUUGUAACCUUAGUUAGCCCAUCAUAAACUAAGGUUACCCUUUUGGGUAUCUACACAUUAGUCCUACACUUUAGUAUGACAACACAUUGGCUCCCUUAACAUAAUGUCCAUAAGACCACAUAUUUAGGCCAAACCAAAAGAUAGCACAUAACAUAUAAUUAUCCAUAUAUUGUUCAUAUGUGUGUAGAUAUAAGUCCACAUAUCUAGAUAUAAAUCCAUAUAUCUUACACUUAAUACACCGUGUUGCUCUUUUUAUGCAUCCGGUAUCAGAAACC